rnacentral:rRNA from 1 species
UACGUAGGGUGCGAGCGUUGUCCGGAAUUAUUGGGCGUAAAGAGCUCGUAGGCGGUGUGUCACGUCGGCCGUGAAAACCUGCAGCUUAACUGUGGGCGUGCGGUCGAUACGGGCAUCACUGGAGUUCGGCAGGGGAGACUGGAAUUCCUGGUGUAGCGGUGAAAUGCGCAGAUAUCAGGAGGAACACCGGUGGCGAAGGCGGGUCUCUGGGCCGAUACUGACGCUGAGGAGCGAAAGCGUGGGGGAGCAAAACAGG